UUUAAAUAAAUAUACUGUGGAAAUAGUUGAGAAUAAGAAAGUAGAACUUACAUGAGGCGGGACGGACACAGAAUUUUCCGCAAGAGCGCAACUUUGCCGAUGUUGCUGUUGAAACUUUGGCUGAUAUGGUUCUAACAUCCUACGAAGAAAUAAUUAAGUUUAUAGACGCACCUGAUCUUGCCCCAGCGGUUGAAGAAGAGCGCAAUAGCGGCGACCCAAAGCAGUAAUACGAACGCGACGAUUAAAGCCUCUUCAGCUCGGACGACAACUCCACUCCCAUCUAAGAUUUUAAAAAAACAUUAAGGAUGGGCUGGUUUUGUAGGGGGAUGUAGCCGGCUAACUACUUCAGCGGGUGGACAAUCGAUUGAAGCGUGUAUGUGCGGGGUAAGCGGGUGUAGGUGAAGGAUGUAAUCGCAAGACUACUUCCGCUGGUGGUCCUCCAGUCACGCCGCUCCAUUCUAGCAAAAGAUUAAAAAC